UGGCGAAGGCGUCUAACUAGGACGGGUCUGACGGUGAGGGACGAAGCCCUGGGGCGCAAACCGGAUUAGAUACCCGGGUAGUCCAGGGUGUAAACGCUGCUUGCUUGAUGUUAGCUGGGCUCCGAGCUCGGCUAGUGUCGGAGAGAAGUUGUUAAGCAAGCUGCCUGGGAAGUACGGUCGCAAGACUGAAACUUAAAGGAAUUGGCGGGGAGCACAGCAACGGGUGGAGCGUGCGGUUUAAUUGGAUUCAACGCCGGAAAGCUUACCGGAGGCGACGGUUAUAUGAAGGCCAGGCUGAUGACCUUGCCUGAUUUUCC
rnacentral:rRNA from 1 species